rnacentral:lncRNA from 1 species
CAAAUUUGAAGAAAGGCAUGAAUAUACAAACCCAAAACCUAAGGGAACUCUGUGAAUAACCCAAAGACUCACACCAAUACACAUAAGACCUGAGAAAGGAUAGAAGCAAAGAUCAUGAAAGUAGCAAGAGAAAAGUAACUCAUCAUUCAUGAGGCCUCAAUAAAACUGUCAUGGAUUUUUAUCAGCAAAAGGCUUGCAGGCCAAAAGCAACAGGAUAGUAUGUUUAAAAUGCUGUUUAAAGGGGGAAAAACUGUCAACUGAGAAUUUUACAUCUUUGAACUGUCCUUCAAAGAUGAGGGAGAAAUUAAGAUAUUCCCAGACAAAAGCGGGGGCGUUUAGUACACUACAACUGCCCUAUAAGAAAUACUAAAAAAAGGGAGAUCCAAGAUGGCAGAAUAGAGGAGGUCAUGUUCCUAGCUGCUCCGUGAUGUGAAACCAGAAAAGCAGAUAGGCAGCUUCUCCAAAAGUGGAGGUACUGGAAACCUUCAGGAACACUGUAAGUCCACAGGGUAUAAAUUCUACUGCCUCAGAUCCAUACUGUUCGAUGGAUAGACACACAAAACAACAUGAAAAGGCAAGGGAACAAAUCAUCCCAAACAAACCAAGAUACUCCAAUAACAGAUUCCAUUGACACCGCAGUGGAAGAAAUGUCAGAUAAGGAGUUUAGAAUGUACAUGGUUAAACUGAUCUCUGUAACAAAGGAUGAUGUAAGACAGCAAAUACAGCUAGAAUAAGAUCAAUAAAGAGGUAGAGAGUCUGAGGAGAAAAAAAACCAAAUUCUUGAAAUGAAGGAAACAACAACAACAAUAAAAACCUAACUAAAAAAUCAAUAGAAAGAAUCACCAGGAGACUAGACCACUUAGAAGACAAAACCUCAGGCAAUGAAGACAAAAUAUAUAAUCUUGAAAACAGAGUUGACCAUGGUGAGAAGAUGCUAAGAAACCAUUAACAGAAUUUCCAAGAAUUAUGGGAUAACAUGAGAAAACCAAAUUUAAGAUUUAUUGAGGUAGAUGAAGGCAUGGAGAUACACAUGGGAUGCAUAAUGAAAUAAUAUCAGAAAAUUUGCCAAUUCUACAGAAUGAAAUGGAAAAUCAAAUGCAAGAGGCUUACAGGACCCCAAAUGUGCAUAAUUACAAUAGACCCACAUCAAGGCACAUAAUAAUGAAAAUGACUAGCAUACAGAAUAAGGAUAGAAUUUUAAAGGCUACAAGAGAAAAAUGUCAGAUUACUUAUAGGAGGAAACCAAUACAGAUCACAGCUGAUUUCUCAACUCAGACCCUCAAAACUAGGAGGUCCUGGAAUAACAUACCAAGCUCUGAAAGAAAAUGGAUGCCAACCAAGAAUCCUAUAUUCAGAAAAUUAAGCUUUAUAUUUGAAAAUGAAAUAAAAAUUUUCCAUGAUGAUCAAGAAUUAAAAGAAUUCGAAGCCAGAAGACUGUACUUAGAAUAUUCUCAAAAAAAAAAAAAAUUCCAUGAAGAUGAAGUGGGGGAAAAAAGGUGAAAACCAGCAAAGGGAGGAAUUACACUAAAGGAAUAGUCAAUCAAAGGAGAAACUAAUUCAAAUUAAAAACUAGAAAUAAGCCAAAAUGACCAGGAACACAAAUCAUAUCUCAAUAAUAACCUUGACCAUUAAUUGUCUAAACUCAUCGAUCAAAAGACAUAUACUUAGGGCAAAGGGGAGGGAGGGGGCAAGGGGUAUGAUGGUGGAAUGAGUUAGACAUCAUUACCCUAAGUAGAUGAAUGAAGACACGAAUGGUGUGAAAAUACCUGGUGUACAAUCAGUGACUUGAAAAAUUGUGCUCUAUAUGUGUAAUAUGAAAUGAAUUGCAUUCUGCCAUCAUGUAUAACAAAUUAGAAUAAUAAUUUAAAGAAAAGUUCC